GUUACCCAUGGUGUACAGUAGGUUAUGUACCACUCUGAGAGACAAUAGCUCCUGAGAGAGCUCAUGACUCCCCUGAGCAAGCAACCUUUAACAAAUAGAACAGAAAACAGGUCGAUGUUGUAAAUCGUUUAAACUGUCUAAUUCAGUUUGUAAUUUAUAUAAUUCAGCAGAGUACCUCUGUGACUAUUUACUCUGGGGCAGUAUGAAAAACAAGUUGGCAUACUAGUGUUCCAUAACAACCAAAUAGCUCUGUGGCAGUGGUGUAAUGGUUUGAUGCUGGUUUCUCAGAACCUUGCAGAUGCCUUGCAGUCAUUAAGCUUUUGCUGCAGCUGCUUGUUGAACAAACACUGGUAGAGAUUCAGUCAUUUUGGUCAUUUCCGGGUCUGAAAGAAUGUUCAUCAAAAUGUACCUUUAAAAUUAAGAUCAAGAUUAGGCUACAUUGUCAUCCGUCCAAUGCAUCCCCAAGAUGUCCUGACUGGGGCCUGGGGCAUGCCGUGACUGGGGCAUGCCAUGACUUGUCAAACACUCC